AUUGAACGCUGGCGGCAGGCCUAACACAUGCAAGUCGAGCGGAGCGGCGGACGGGUGCGUAAUACCUAGGAAUCUGCCUGGGAUUGGGGGAUAACGUUCGGAAACGGACGAUAAUACCGCAUACUAUCAGAUGAGCCUAGGUCGGAUGAGCUAGUUGGUGAGGUAAUGGCUCCACAAGUCUACGAUCCGUAACUGGGCUGCGAGGAUGUUCAGUCACACUGGAACUGUGACACGGUCCAAACUCCUACGGGAGGCAGCAGUGGGGAAUAUGGGACAAUGGGCGAAAGCCUGAUCCAGCCAGGCCGCGUGUGUGAAGAAGGUCUUCGGAUUGUAAAGCACUUUAAGUUGGGAGGCGUUACCGACAGAAUAAGCACCGGCUAACUCUGUGCCAGCAGCCGCGGUAAUAC
rnacentral:rRNA from 1 species